rnacentral:rRNA from 1 species
UACGUAGGGGGCAAGCGUUGUCCGGAAUCAUUGGGCGUAAAGAGCGCGUAGGCGGUCCGGUAAGUCCGCUCUGAAAGUCCGGGGCUCAACCCCGGGAGGCGGGCGGAUACUGUCGGGCUAGAGUCCGGAAGAGGCGAGUGGAAUUCCUGGUGUAGCGGUGAAAUGCGCAGAUAUCAGGAGGAACACCGAUGGCGAAGGCAGAUCUCUGGGCCGUUACUGACGCUGAGGAGCGAAAGCGUGGGGAGCGAACAGG